rnacentral:lncRNA from 1 species
UUAUUGUAAUUAGGUCUUUCCACUUUUCUGUGGAAAGACCUAUUGUAUUUGUUCUGAUUAUUAUUAGGUCUUUCCACUUUUCUGUGGAAAGACCUAUUGUAUUUGUUCUGAUUAUUAUUAUUAUUAGGUCUUUCCACUUUUCUGUGGAAAGACCUAUUGUAUUUGUUCUGAUUAUUAUUAUUAUUAUUAUUAUUAUUUUUUUUUUUUUUUUUUUUCUUCCGCCAAAUUUUGUUCUUGCGAUAAAUGUUUAUUUCGCAAUAUGUCGCUUAGAUAUUUCUCAUAUGGUAUCGUAUAGUUUAUGCGCUUUUAAAUUUCACCCUGCUAAGGCGAACCAUUUUCUUUGUAAGAGUUAUCUCCCCUUUCACUGUUUAUCAUCAGAGUGCAUCUCCUCCGUAACCGUAGAAAAAUGCGACAAAUUUAUUUUAUAAAAUUGCUCGUUAUAUCCUUCGCAUGAUUUGUCCUAUUUUAACCGAAGCGAUAUGAACACUCCUUAUGAGAGUUAUUCCCCCUUUUGCAUUUGAUAUUAGUAAUAUGCAUUUCUAACUGGUAAACCAUAGGUAAUAGAGACCUAGGGUCUUUUGAUUUAAGGUCCUUGGUCCAAAAAAAUGAAAAUUAGGUCAAGGUCAAAGGUCAAGGUCAUAUUCUAAAUUUUGAUUUUGGCUUAUUUUCACUCAUUUUCAUUAAUCUUAUCAGAUAUCGACAAAUUAUUUUUACUAAAUUGUUAGUUGCGACAUGUCGUAACAUAAUAAUUUUGGUUGAAAGGUGCGUAGACAAUAAAUGGG